GAAUGCUGACAUAAGUAACGAUAAAGCGGGUGAAAAGCCCGCUCGCCGGAAGACCAAGGGUUCCUGUCCAACGUUAAUCGGGGCAGGGUGAGUCGACCCCUAAGGCGAGGCCGAAAGGCGUAGUCGAUGGGAAACGGGUUAAUAUUCCCGUACUUGGUGUUACUGCGAAGGGGGGACGGAGAAGGCUAUGUUGGCCGGGCGACGGUUGUCCCGGUUUAAGCGUGUAGGUGUGUGUUCCAGGUAAAUCCGGUUCACUUUAACACUGAGGCGUGACGACGAGGCACUACGGUGCUGAAGCAACAAAUGCCCUGCUUCCAGGAAAAGCCUCUAAGCAUCAGGUAACAUCAAAUCGUACCCCAAACCGACACAGGUGGUCAGGUAGAGAAUACCAAGGCGCUUGAGAGAACUCGGGUGAAGGAACUAGGCAAAAUGGUGCCGUAACUUCGGGAGAAGGCACGCUGACACGUAGGUGAAGUGAUUUACUCAUGGAGCUGAAG
rnacentral:rRNA from 1 species